GAUUGAGUGUUGAGAAGUAUGCUGAUUCCUGAGAAUCGAAUGCUCGGCCGCCGCGAGAUCUUUGAGGGCAAGGCGGGUAAAUAUGCGUGGAUGACUUACAAACAAGUGUAUGACAUCGUGAUGAAGCUUGCUGCUUCGAUCCGUAGAUGCGGCGUUGAAAAUGUUGAGAGAUUUGCGACAGACUUCGUAGUUGUAAGGUUUCAGACUUGGGAUAAAGUUGAAAUGCAGUUACUAGAUUGAACCCUACAAAACAGGGGUUAGAUAUUUUUCUCUCUGCCUACCCAAAAGGUAUUUGUUUAUCUCAUAAUGUGAUGUUUCAAACUUAAGAAGCUCACAACAUGU